rnacentral:lncRNA from 1 species
AUGAGAGAAGAAUUCUUUGCCCAUUCUAGCAGAGAGCCCCAAAGAGUCCCAUCAAACCAGACAGAAAAGUACCAAAAAGUAACAAUAAAACAUCCCUUCUUCUUAAUGAUAAAUCCAUCAAUAAGCCAAAAUGUCUGCCAAUGUCAGCUGCAGCAUUUCAGAUUAGUUCUAUCAGUCCUCCCCAACAUGUUGUGGAAGAAGAGGAGGAUGAUUGGGGAAAAGAUAAAACUGAGGAAGCUCAGAGGCACAGAAUGGAUGAAAUCAGUGACCAUGCCAAAGUCCUGACACUCAGUGAUGAUUUGGAAAGAACCAUAGAAGAGCAUGUAAAUGCCCAGUUUGAUUUUGUUAAGGAAAAGAAAAAAGAGGGCAUUAUUGACCCAUUUUACAAAUUGUUGCUGUCACCGAAAGACUAGAUAUAAAAGCCAUGGAUCCUCUUGUUCAGACUGAAGUUCUUUUAAAUUAGAUUAGAGAGACUCCAAAUCAGCCCGCUGCAGACAGGCAGGUCUGCGCACACCCUACCAAGGUCCCCAGUCACAUGGAACAGGCCGAAUCAGCCCGGUGCAGACAGGCAGGUCUGCACAAGCCCUACCCAGGUCCCGAGUCAUGCAGAACAUGCUGAAUCAGCCCGCUGCAGACAGGCAGCCACCUGGUUCCACACUACAAAGACACAGAGGACACCAGACCACCAGACCACGGUACUGAGUCCUGCUGCUCCCGGCCUAGAGGUAGGGGCUUCUGAGCUGGCUUC